UGGGUACCUACCCCACAGUGAGGGAUACCGGCGAGAAAUCGCCGACAAUACCGCAUAGGCUUCUCUUCUUCAUCGAAGGGAAGCAAAGUUGCGCAAGCGACGCUGAGGGAUGGGCCUGUGGCCGAUUAGCUAGUUGGGGGGGUAACGGCUUCCCAAGGCUGCGAUCGGUAGCUGGUCUGAGAGGACGAUCAGCCACACUGGGAUUGAGAACGGCCCAG
rnacentral:rRNA from 1 species